AAAAUUUUAAAAAACUUUAAUAAAAAAAAAACUAAAAAAAAAUACUAUAGGACUGCGACUGAAUUUAAUAAAGAUGGGAAACGAUUAUAAAUUAUAAAGCGACGAAAAAAUUUAUAAUGUUACGAAAAAAUUGUAUACCGUGAAAAAAACUUGUGUCGAACAUCUGAAUGCAAUACUCUUCACAUGCUCAUGGAAAGUUGGAUUAAAUUGUCACCGAUUUUUAUGUGGACGGUACCGGAUCCCCUCCCCUCGCUUUACACACAAGGCUGAACGGAGAAACUUCAGGAUCUGCAGAUUUGCGUCAAGAAUCCAACAAACAUGCGUGUAACCUCUAAGCUAAAUAAAAAAUGGACAAGCCGAAAAACAUA